ACGAACGCUGGCGGCAUGCCUCACCCAUGCCAGUCGAACGAGACCUUCGGGUCUAGUGGCGCACGGGUGCGUAACGCGUGGGAACCUGCCCUUAGGUUCGGAAUAACUCCCCGAAAGGGGUGCUAAUACCGGAUAAUGUCUUCGGACCAAAGAUUUAUCGCCUUUGGAUGGGCCCGCGUUGGAUUAGCUAGUUGGUAGGGUAAAAGCCUACCAAGGCGACGAUCCAUAGCUGGUCUGAGAGGAUGAUCAGCCACACUGGGACUGAGACACGGCCCAGACUCCUACGGGAGGCAGCAGUGGGGAAUAUUGGACAAUGGGCGAAAGCCUGAUCCAGCAAUGCCGCGUGAGUGAUGAAGGCCUUAGGGUUGUAAAGCUCUUUUACCCGGGAUGAUAAUGACAGUACCGGGAGAAUAAGCUCCGGCUAACUCCGUG
rnacentral:rRNA from 1 species